rnacentral:rRNA from 1 species
UACGAAGGGUGCAAACGUUGCUCGGAAUUAUUGGGCGUAAAGCGCACGUAGGCGGCUUUGCAAGUCCCAUGUGAAAUCCCACGGCUCAACCGUGGAAGUGCAUGGGAAACUGCAAGGCUUGAGUACUUAAGAGGAUCGCGGAAUUCCCGGUGUAGAGGUGAAAUUCGUAGAUAUCGGGAGGAACACCAGUGGCGAAGGCGGCGAUCUGGGAAGAUACUGACGCUGAGGUGCGAAAGCGUGGGGAGCGAACAGG